AGAGUUUGAUCCUGGCUCAGGAUUAAUGCUGGCGGCGUGCCUUAGGCAUGCAAAUCAAGGGGGCUCCGCAAGGAGCAACCGGUGGACGGGUGAGUAAUGCGCAGGAAUCUACCUUAAAGUGGGACAUAGCUAGCCGAAAGGUUGGGUAAUUUCCCAUGUGAACGCAAGUUCAAAGCCGCAAGGCGCUUUAAGAUGAGCCUGCGUCCUAUCAGCUUGUUGGUGGGGUAAUGGCCUACCAAGGCGACGACGGGUAGCUGGACUGAGAGGUCGGUCAGCCACAAUGGCACUGAGACACGGGCCAUACACCUACGGGUGGCAGCAACCGGGAAUAUUGGACAAUGGGCGAAAGCCUGAUCCAGCGACGCCGCGUGGAGGAUUGAAGGCCUUCGGGUUGUAAACUCCUUUUAUGUGGGAAGAUUAUGACGGUACCACACGAAUAAGCACCUGCUAACUACGUGCCAGAAGCCUCGGUAAUACGUAGGGUGCAAGCAUUAUCCGGAUUUAUUGGGCGUAAAGUGUUGCGUAGGCGGUAUGACGCAUUCUGUUUGAAAGCCUGUGGCUUAACCACGGAUUUGGACAGAAGAUGGUCAUGCUUGAGGAAAAGAUAGGGUACUGGAACUGAUGGUGAAGCAGUGAAAUGCGUUGAUAUCAUCGGGAACACCAAAGGCGUAGGCAGGUACCUGACUUUUAUCUGACGCUGAGGCACGAAAGCUAGGGGAGCGAAGCAGAUUAGAGACCUGCGUAGUCCUAGCCGUAAACAAUGGAUGCUAGAUACCCGCAUUUGUGGGUGUCGUAAGCUAACGCGUUAAACAUCCCGCCUGGGGAGUACGAGCGCAAGCUUAAAACUCAAAGGAAUUGACGG
rnacentral:rRNA from 1 species